rnacentral:rRNA from 1 species
UACGUAGGUGGCAAGCGUUGUCCGGAAUUAUUGGGCGUAAAGCGCGCGCAGGCGGUCUUUUACGUCUGAUGUGAAAGCCCACGGCUCAACCGUGGAGGGUCAUUGGAAACUGGGGGACUUGAGUACAGAAGAGAAGAGUGGAAUUCCACGUGUAGCGGUGAAAUGCGCAGAUAUCGAGAGGAACACCUGCGGCGAAGGCGGGUUGCUGGGCUGAUACUGACGCUGAGGCGCGAAAGCCAGGGGAGCGAACGGG